CGGGGGGGGCUAGCGUUGUUCGGAAUUACUGGGCGUAAAGGGCUCGUAGGUGGCCAACUAAGUCAUGCGUGAAAUCCCUCGGCUUAACCGGGGAACUGCGUCUGAUACUGGAUGGCUUGAAUCUGGGAGAGGGAUGCGGAAUUCCAGGUGUAGCGGUGAAAUGCGUAGAUAUCUGGAGGAACACCGGUGGCGAAGGCGGCAUCCUGGACCGGUAUAGACACUGAGGAGCGAAAGCCAGGGGAGCAAACGGGAUUAGAUACCCCGGUAGUCCUGGCCCUAAACGAUGAAUGCUUGGUGUGACGGGUAUCGAUCCCUGUCGUGCCGAAGCUAACGCAUUAAGCAUUCCGCCUGGGGAGUACGGUCGCAAGGCUG
rnacentral:rRNA from 1 species